UACGUAGGGGGCUAGCGUUGUCCGGAUUUAUUGGGCGUAAAGAGCGUGUAGGCGGCCAGGUAGGUCUGGUGUGAAAACUCGAGGCUUAACCUCGAGAUGUCAUCGGAAACCAUCUGGCUAGAGUCCGGAAGAGGAGAGUGGAAUUCCUGGUGUAGCGGUGAAAUGCGCAGAUAUCAGGAAGAACACCAAUGGCGAAAGCAGCUCUCUGGGACGGUACUGACGCUGAGACGCGAAAGCGUGGGAGCGAACAGG
rnacentral:rRNA from 1 species